UCAGGGUUAUUAGUGGAACGACCGGGAUUUGCCGUGUGCGUGUGUGUGUUUGUUUUCAUCACAAAAAUCAAUAGCUACAUACAUCAAGAUUAUACAUCACUGAACAUCGCUCGCGGAACCCGGCGAUGUGUGCCCGUGGACCAAGCCGGUCGACUGGCUGGUCCAGGUGAAAGUGGCAGAAGAGAGGGACAGGUGUCCCGCGCAAGACGCUAGGGUGUCCGGCUCCGACUCGUAUUACAGUGCUUUCACUUGAGGUCAGCUUUGGUUCUAAGGUGGCAAUAUCGAUCGCUGUGAUGGUUGCUCCCUUUCUGCUUGAACGAGCACUGUGAUUGUGUCGUCGCGAAACGAACCCAAACGCGGGACGCCGCGCGGCGUCCUAGGCUAACAGGCGAGCGGGCUAAGCCAAGACAAAUGGCAGGAACGGAUUGGACGCCGAUCGCGUUUCCAACCACUCGUUUGUGUUCAGGUCCAGCCUGCACGCGGUAAUCGUGGAAAAGCAGAGGCCGCUUACCUUGCUCAGCUCGUGUGCUUUUACAGUUUGGCUCAAAGUGAGCUCUGCUCCUCAGCCCGCGCACCUCCGCCAUCUUGGGUCUGAGCUAACUGCCCCGCUGACGUCACAACCGAGUGGGGGCCGACGCUUACUUCCAUGCUUAAAUGUUGGCGCACCACUCUUCACCGGAGGUUUUCGCCCUCAAAGUUCUCCCCAGCCCCCGAGAGCGUUCAUUUUAAUAGCUGAGAAAGGGGCUUCGACACAGGCGGACCACCUUGAAAACGUGAACCUUUAGCAGCAGGCCCAGCCUGUCCCCGAACGGGAGCGGUGGGAACGUUCCCCUGUGCAGCCGGCCAUGACAGGCCCAUGUCGGGCCGGGCCUCGGCUCCUCCACUCCGUGGAGUGGGUGAUUGACAGGUCUCACCGGGGGAGGUGGGACUCCAUAUCUGUCAUUCAGAACGGCCAAGACGCCACCUGAAGGAAUCGCUUAUGGGAUCUCGGCAUCAAACGAGCCAACGGAAGAGGCAAGUUUUUGUUGACAGAAAAAGCCCUUUGUUGGAAUUACGUAACGUGAAACUUAAAAGAACCGAGGCAACAUGAACACAACAUUGUGGGGUGAAUGAUCUAAUUUCUUGAAUUGAAAACCUACAUGAAAUUGAUCACAUUAUAACGUGACUGAGAUUUUUUAUUU